GAUGCUUGUUUGAACCGCAUGGUUCAAACAUAAAAGGUGGCUUCGGCUACCACUUACAGAUGGACCCGCGGCGCAUUAGCUAGUUGGUGAGGUAAUGGCUCACCAAGGCAACGAUGCGUAGCCGACCUGAGAGGGUGAUCGGCCACACUGGGACUGAGACACGGCCCAGACUCCUACGGGAGGCAGCAGUAGGGAAUCUUCCGCAAUGGACGAAAGUCUGACGGAGCAACGCCGCGUGAGUGAUGAAGGUUUUCGGAUCGUAAAGCUCUGUUGUUAGGGAAGAACAAGUACCGUUCGAAUAGGGCGGUACCU
rnacentral:rRNA from 1 species